UACGUAGGGGGCUAGCGUUGUCCGGAAUCAUUGGGCGUAAAGCGCGUGUAGGCGGUCCGGUAAGUCCGCUGUGAAAGUCGGGGGCUCAACCCUCGGAUGCCGGUGGAUACUGUCGGGCUUGAGUACGGAAGAGGCGAGUGGAAUUCCUGGUGUAGCGGGUGAAAUGCGCAGAUAUCAGGAGGAACACCAAUUGCGAAGGCAGCUCGCUGGGACGUUACUGACGCUGAGACGCGAAGCGUGGGGAGCAAACAGG
rnacentral:rRNA from 1 species